rnacentral:rRNA from 1 species
AUGAAAUUCUUGGACCGUAGCAAGACGGACUACAGCGAAAGCAUUUGGCAAGAAUGUCUUCAUUAAUCAAGAACGAAAGUCAGAGGUUCGAAGGCGAUCAGAUACCGCCCUAGUUCUGACCGUAAACGAUGCCAACUAGCGAUCCGCCGGCGGAUUCAUUCGCCCUGGUGGGGAGCUUCCCGGAAACGAAAGUCUUCCGGUUCCGGGGGAAGUAUGGUUGCAAAGCUGAAACUUAAAGGAAUUGACGGAAGGGCACCACCAGGAGUGGAGCCUGCGGCUUAAUUUGACUCAACACGGGGAAACUCACCCGGCCCGGACACCGUAAGGAUUGACAGAUUGAUAGCUUUUUCAUGAUUCGGUGGAUGGUGGUGCAUGGCCGUUCUUAGUUCGUGGAGCGAUUUGUCUGGUUUAUUCCGAUAACGAGCGAGACUCUGGCCUACUAAAUAGUUGGCGCAUUGCUACUGUGCGCACAACACUUCUUAGAGGGAUUUUCGGUGUUCAGCCGCACGAAAUUGAGCAAUAACAGGUCUGUGAUGCCCUUAGAUGUCCGGGGCUGCACGCGCGCUACACUGGCAAAAUCAGCGUGCUUGUCCUUCCCCGAAAGGGGUUGGUAAACCCGUGAAAAUUUGCCGUGAUUGGGAUCGGACAUUGCAAUUAUUGUCCGUGAACGAGGAAUUCCUUGUAGGGGCGAGUCAUCAACUCGCUCUGAAUACGUCCCUGCCCUUUGUACACACCGCCCGUCGCUGCCCGGGACUGAGCCAUUUCGAGAAACUCGGGGAUUGUUGGUCUGGUUGCCUCCGGGUUGCCGUUCCUUCGAGAACCGAUUUAAUCGCAGUGGCUUGAACCGGGCAAAGUCGCCA